rnacentral:tRNA from 1 species
GCGCCCGUCGGCAGAUUCGGCGAAUUGCAGCGGAUGUCGUCGCCGUCCGGAUCGGUUGCGAGCAGACGAAAGGUGAUCGCUGCGCCUUCGGCGCC